AUUGAACGCUGGCGGCAUGCCUUACACAUGCAAGUCGAACGGUAACAGGUCUUCGGAUGCUGACGAGUGGCGAACGGGUGAGUAAUACAUCGGAACGUGCCUAGUAGUGGGGGAUAACUACUCGAAAGAGUGGCUAAUACCGCAUGAGAUCUACGGAUGAAAGCAGGGGAUCGCAAGACCUCGUGCUACUAGAGCGGCCGAUGGCAGAUUAGGUAGUUGGUGGGAUAAAAGCUUACCAAGCCGACGAUCUGUAGCUGGUCUGAGAGGAAGAUCAGCCACGCUGGAGCUGAGAAACGGCCCAGACUCCUACGGGAGGCAGCAGUGGGGAAUUUUGGACAAUGGGCGCAAGCCUGAUCCAGCAAUGCCGCGUGCAGGAUGAAGGCCUUCGGGUUGUAAACUGCUUUUGUACGGAACGAAAAGCCCCGGGUUAAUACCCUGGGGUCAUGACGGUACCGUAAGAAUAAGCACCGGCUAACUACGUGCCAGCAGCCGCGGUAA
rnacentral:rRNA from 1 species